GUAAGCCUGUCUUCGUUUUGUAUUUCUGGCGUCCGUUAUCACCACCACAAAUUUGUUGGCAUACAACAACUGGUACUACACCCUCAGUCGCCACGAGGAAUCACUUCUGUGGCUUCUAGCUGAGGCGAGGUGGCCAAAAUUCCUGAUUAUCUUCUGCACUGCCAGCAACGCCUUCCCCAACGGCAAGCCAUCCGUCGCCGUCCAAUGCAGCUUGGGUGCAGCACAAUGCCAUGGCCACCCUCCUUGGUCCCGUCCCUCGGCUACACUGUACCUUGACCUGCCCAGUGGGCCGUCAAGCCAGCUCUAGCUUGGCUAAUCUCUCUUAUAUCCCAUAAUAAACAAACAAAUAAGCACUAUAC